rnacentral:rRNA from 1 species
UACGUAGGGGGCAAGCGUUAUCCGGAUUUACUGGGUGUAAAGGGAGCGUAGACGGUUAUGCAAGUCUGAAGUGAAAGCCCAAGGCUCAACCAUGGGACUGCUUUGGAAACUGUAAAACUGGAGUGCAGGAGAGGUAAGCGGAAUUCCUAGUGUAGCGGUGAAAUGCGUAGAUAUUAGGAGGAACACCAGUGGCGAAGGCGGCUUACUGGACUGUAACUGACGUUGAGGAUCGAAGGCGUGGGGAGCAAACAGG